CCUCGGGAGGCAGCAGUAGGGAAUCUUGGACAAUGGGCGCAAGCCUGAUCCAGCCAUGCCGCGUGAGUGAAGAAGGCCUUAGGGUCGUAAAGCUCUUUCGCCUGUGAUGAUAAUGACAGUAGCAGGUAAAGAAACCCCGGCUAACUCCGUGCCAGCAGCCGCGGUAAUACGGAGGGGGUUAGCGUUGUUCGGAAUUACUGGGCGUAAAGCGCGCGUAGGCGGAUUGGAAAGUUAGAGGUGAAAUCCCGGGGCUCAACCCCGGAACGGCCUUUAAAACUCCCAGUCUAGAGUUCGAGAGAGGUGAGUGGAAUUCCAAGUGUAGAGGUGAAAUUCGUAGAUAUUUGGAGGAACACCAGUGGCGAAGGCGGCUCACUGGCUCGAUACUGACGCUGAGGUGCGAAAGUGUGGGGAGCAAACAGGAUUAGAUACCCUGGUAGUCCACACCGUAAACGAUGAAUGCCAGUCGUCGGAUAGUAUACUAUUCGGUGACACACCUAACGGAUUAAGCAUUCCGCCUGGGGAGUACGGUCGCAAGAUUAAAACUCAAAGGAAUUGACGG
rnacentral:rRNA from 1 species